CCUACGGGUGGCAGCAGUGAGGAAUAUUGGUCAAUGGCCGAGAGGCUGAACCAGCCAAGUCGCGUGAGGGAAGACGGUCCUACGGGUUGUAAACCUCUUUUGUCGGGGAGCAAAGCGAACCACGUGUGGUUCAUUGAGAGUACCCGAAGAAAAAGCAUCGGCUAACUCCGUGCCAGCAGCCGCGGUAAUACGGAGGAUGCGAGCGUUAUCCGGAUUUAUUGGGUUUACAGGGUGCGCAGGCGGAGGUGGAAGUCAGCGGGCAAAUUGCGGGGCUCAACCCCGUACUGCCGUUGAAACUGCAUCCCUUGAGUGCGCGAGAAGUAUGCGGAAUGCGUGGUGUAGCGGUGAAAUGCUUAGAUAUCGGGAGGAACAUCGGUGGCGUAAGCGCUUUGCUGGGCCGUAAUUGACGCUGAGGAACGAAAGCCAGGGUAGCGAAUGGGAUUAGAUACCCUAGUAGUC
rnacentral:rRNA from 1 species